CGGAGUCUGCAACCCGACUCCGUGAAGCUGGAUUCGCUAGUAAUCGCGCAUCAGCCAUGGCGCGGUGAAUACGUUCCCGGGCCUUGUACACACCGUCCCGUCAAGCCAUGGGAGCCGGGGGUGCUUGAAGUGCGUCGCCGCAAGGCGCGCCCUAGAGCAAAACCGGUGACUGGGGCUAAGUCGUAACAAGGUAAC
rnacentral:rRNA from 1 species